rnacentral:lncRNA from 1 species
GAGAGAGAGAUCUUGCGGCUUGAAGAAUCACGAUGAUAGAAGAAGAAGCUCAGAGGUCUGAUACGCCAUUUCAGAUGAACCCUAAAAACCAGAGAAGGAGAAAAGGCUAAGAAAUCGAAGCAUUCAAAUAUGAGCCGAGGAAGAUGAGGCGGAUACGAUCGUCAGAUCACGAUUUGCUCUCCCAAAGGUUGCCUCUUCCAAGUCGGUAUUUGAUCAUCUCCAAUUUCUUCUAUGCAAUAUGAUUUGAAUCUCGGAUGGUUCCUCAAGGAGUCCAGAUUUGUGGGUUUUUGGUUUUUAGGGUUUCAUGUUUUGGAAAUUUUCUUUCUUUUUUGGGUAUAAAUCUCAGGAUUUUGGGGGAUUUUACAGUAGUGGGUUUUUGGAAAUUCAAAUUCUUGCAUUCACAAAUCCAUGUAAAACCCUUCAAUUUCGUUUUGUUUUACCUUUUAAGGUAUGAUUUUAUAGAAAUUAACAGUCGGAAUUAACUUUGGUAAUCUUGAUUUUGGUUUGGUUCAGCUAGGGUUUAGAUGAGUCCACCUGCUAUGGUGAAGAUAGAAGAUGCUAAAUUUUGCUUGAUGAAGGUAAAUUUUGCUCAAUUUUAC